UACGUAGGCAGCGAGCGUUGUUCGGAGUUACUGGGCGUAAAGAGUGCGUAGGCGGUUUUCUAAGUUUGGUGUGAAAUCUCCCGGCUUAACUGGGAGGGUGCGCCGAAGACUGGAAGGCUUGAGUAUGGGAGAGGUAAGCGGAAUUCCUGGCGUAGCGGUGAAAUGCGUAGAUAUCAGGAGGAACACCUGCGGUGUAGACGGCUUACUGGACCAUCACUGACGCUGAGGCAUGAAAGCGUGGGUAGCAAACAGG
rnacentral:rRNA from 1 species